ACAAACUGCUAACCUUUUCUAAUCUCACUUUUUCAUAAAUAACUAACGUGCAAGUGUACAUAGCUAUGUGAUUAUUUUAUACCGAUUAAUGCAAUACAUUUUUGUGUGGGAUGUUAAUUUGAAAAUAACAUGAUGAACACAUUUACAUUAAAACAAUAUUUUCAAUUAUUGAUUGUUUACGCAAACAUGCUAAAUGAAUGGAUUGUACAAGCUCAAGAUGAUAACCCAUGGGUAAUGCACACCAACAAGUUAACAAUUGAUCGGCUAGAACUGGAGACAUGGACAAACACUUCAGUAGUGAGGGGCAUGGUUGCUGCUGUAUCAGUAGACUAUCAUUUUACCAAGGGCUUUAUUUACUACUCUGAUCAAAAAGCUGAUCGGGUAUCAAGAAUUAAUCUGUUCAACCCAAAUGAUACGGUCGACAUAAUCACAAACUCGCUAAGCUUGGCGGAUGCCAUUGCUGUAGAUUGGAUAUACGACCAUCUUUACUGGAUCGAUGCAAGUCAUGAUCAUAUAAUGGUCGCUGAGUUGGAUGGCACACAAAGAAAAACUCUAAUUAGUACUCAACUGGUAUAUCCUCGUGCACUUAUUGUUUAUCCAAAUAUUGGAUGGAUGUUUUUUACUGAUGUGGAAAAUCCAAAGAUAGAAAGAUGUGGCCUUGAUGGAAGCAACAGACAAGCCAUUGUGACAACUAAUAUCGGUUCUCCGAAUGGAUUGUCAAUUGAUUUCACGACAAACCGACUUUAUUGGGCGGACAAUCACAUUCUGCUUAAGCAAAUAAAAUCAUCAAAGUUGGAUGGAACAGAUAUCCAGAUACUAAUGCAGUCCGCAGACAAUUUGCCUUGGGUGUGGGGAUUAGUAGUGUAUAAACAUUGGUUAUACCUUACCCAAUUUAGCAACAAUAGUGUUUGUCGCGUAGAUAAGCAGACUGGUUCAAAUUUCCAAAUAAUCAGAGCAGAUGCAGAUAACCCUGUAGGAAUUAAAGUUUACAGCGAAAACAAUCAAC